rnacentral:lncRNA from 1 species
GGCCCCUCUGAGGAGACACGACACCAGCCCUCGAUCACUGCGGGGGGAAGGGUGACAGGCCAGAAGAAUGAGAAGAGACCACUUCCCAGGGUGACAGGGAUGCUGUGCCCCUUCUCCUGGGCCAGGCCCUGCACCCAGCCAGCCCCGUGAUAGGUGCACGGAGCAAAUGUACACCAAGCCCUUGCUGAGGACCCCUGCUGCAUCCCCAGUCGCCAGCCAGGAGAGGAC